CACGGAACUCCGACCUCCCAAAACAGGGGUUUCUGUCCAUUUUGGGAGCGGUUCCCCCCUCCGCGGCCCCCGACUGUUCCCUCGGGGCAGAAACGGGAACCCGAAACCGGCGUUCGCGUUCGUAUUGUGCAUUGCCUAUUUUCCUUUCCGGCCCCUCCUGGGACAGCACGAUGCAUGGCCGAGACUGACCGUCGCCCCCUCACUGUUCCCUGGCUGGCGUGCCUGCCCCCUAUAACGGCCCCCCAAUGCGCUGACACCGGCGAUUGCCCAAUUUGUCAGCUUCUGGCUUUGCUGUGUCCAGCUUUCUCCCCUUCGGAUUUCCCUCCGAGUGGAUCGCUCGCCGUCGGGCCUUUUUACUCUCCGUAGCGACACAUAACGCGAAUGCGUCUACAAUAAACGAAAAAACAGGUUCGACAAUCGGGAUUAGGUUUAUUGCGUUUGCAACUGACGGCAUAUCUAACUGAUAAUGCAACUGAUCAUAACUGAUAUACAACUGAUCGUAACUGAUAUGUAACUGAUCAUAACUGAUGAUGCAACUGAUGACAUUUGCAACUGAUGACUUUACAGCGCUGAGCAUUCUGUUGAGGCUGACGAUUACCGGCCGCUUGUUCUGUUGUCCUGUUACGAAAACAAUUCGGAUUACAACUGCUGUCACCACAGGAUCCUUUGCCGGCCCUCGGCCGGCGAUAUUAGCUGCCGCACACACUUACCAGUCUUUACUCCUGGGGGGCAGAGCCUUGCCCCAGCUCGAUUACCGGUUCCCCCUCGGCGCCAUGCAUUGCCGAUAGACCGAUUUCGAGCAUCGGCAACCCUGCUCUUCCGGGCCCGGGAUACACCCUGCCGGCGUCCAGUAGCAAUCGGGCGAGCCUCUUCCCGUCGGUUGCUAGGGGGGCCAGUACACGUUCACGAUAGGUGAAUUCGCACGUGUACUGGCGCAAUCUGUCAUCAUUGCGAGUCGACUUGAUGGUCUCCUGUUGGGAAACAUGUUUGUUAUAACCUGAGCCGGCACCUGACUAUAAAGCAAAAGAAGAAAACAGAGUGAGGAACACAUACCUUCAGCCGCCGAUUCCUAACCUCAAUGUUUUGUGUAUGGACGUCGGGCUCCUCGACGUCAACGAACCUGGAGGGAGAAAAAACAGGGAGUCGGAACAGUGUGCGGGUAGUCGGCUUUUUUUCAGGGCAUGCCGACAGGGGUAGCCGCUGCCAUGCAGCGGCCAUCACCGGCCGGACGACUUAGCACGCCUUCAGGACGCAUCUUACCUGCCUGGUCCACGGCGGCUAUGAUUUAUCGUUUUGUGCGCAGCAUAGCCCAAGCUCUCGCAACCCGUGUAUUGCGGAGCACAGUCCGGUAUUAUUGUGGAUCCAUGUGCGACAAAUCGGUGAAUAUAACUCCACAAUACGGCCCUUGUUUUGUUGGGAACCUGCAAGAAUGAAAGAACACUUUAGUCGGAACCCAUGCAGAGCGUAUCGCGGAGUGCCACGCAUAAUAUGUUGAUGGCGGCCUCCUGCUGGCAGGGGCUAAAGAACCCCUAUCGAAGGCGUACCUGCCAAUACAGACCCUCUUUCGUUUCUCGGCAGUAAAUGCCGAAGAGGGUUAUUGUGUGCGCGGACACCAGACGUCCCCUAUUAAAUUUUCGCCUACGGGCAAAAGUUUCGUCGACCUGCGAACAAAGCACGGAAAUAUUAAUGUUGGCCGUGGGAAAUCUGCCGACAAAGGCGCCGGACGUAUCGGAAAAAACUGAGAACUGAACAUUCGCUUACCUCGACAGUUUUCCCGGGGCCGCCGAUUUCCACUUGAAGAUGCGAAACUAUAACUUCGGCGACCUCCCGGAAAAAACUGAAAAAAUCCUGCGCCGUUCUACUGGACACCACGCAUUCGGUGUACGCCUUAGUGACGGGCAGUUGUAUGAUCCAUGCGUACGCAAGGCGCAGUACCUGAAAGGAAAAAAACGUCUGGUAUUAGGACGUUCAGCGCAAGAAUAAACGGGUCGUUAAACGUAUAUGCGCUAAUCUUACCUUGAGCACGUUGAUGUUAAUGUUAUCGAAAGUGUUUUUCAGAGGGGACAAGUACCCCCUGCAUUUCUUCGCCGUCUUCUGUUUUUUACUUUUUUCUGACGAGGACGGCUUCUCCCCGCCCAGGCACCUAUAUACAAACCCCGCCUGAUUAUCCCGCGAUGCUUGCGGUCUCAUGGCUCCUGUAAAUGGCGCGAAUACGAGCGUUAGUACCGGCAGCAAGGGGGGGCAGAACGUAAAUGCUGAGAUUGCGCGAGGCAACGCGCACACAUGCGAUGCCGCCCCUGUAGCGGGGGGAGGCCUGGGAACCCUGGAACCAGCGGCCGACGUGCUUACCGAAUACAUUUUCCGCUGCUUCCGGCGGCCCGCGAUGUGCCCCGCCGGCGGAAACAAGUGGAAUCUUUGUGUCGGGCCAGGCGCGGCCACGGCCCUGUCAGCAGGUCCCAGACCGUGGAGAUAGCAUUGCGUGCACGUGGCCUGCAGCAAAAUCAGCAGCCACGGGAGUCCCGAGGACGCAUCAGGCGGACCUACCGCUGCACUUCGGGCACGGAGGAGGCGGCGUGCUCUCCCUGUCCGGGAUAAGGCCGAGGUGGGUGCACACGCGAACAGCUUCUUCAUUCGUCGGCAAAAUUUCGGCAAAUGUAAAAGACGUUAUCCGGUUUAGGGGAGUAUCUACCUCUCCCGGAAAAUCUGUUUGUGGUGCAGGCUCGACGCCUGCCGAUGACGUUGAGGGCAAUUCCAUCAUGUUACUGUUGUCAAGCACGCACAAUCGCGAGAAAACGCGUAUAUAUCUACGCGAACACGUGGUAUCCAACCCGAUGCGCAUGGUCAUAAGCAAAGGAGAUGCAAAUACGAAGUACCCGGACGAAGGACUGCGCGCACGUGGCAGGGCAUAGCUGACGUAACGGGGCUACGCGAGGGAAGCACAGCAAUAGGAAUGGGUCCACACGCGCAAAAGAUCCGACCGCCAAAGCGAAUCGCGGCGUCGAAGCGCAGCGCGCAAUCGGCAAGGACUGAGCCGGCGAGACACCCGGACAGCGCAUGCGUCGCAGAGGCCCUCAACAACGCGUUGGCCGGCUGAAAUAGCAGCUCCGAAGAGAUACCGUCAAGCAGUCCAGAUAGCCUAGUAGGUUAGGUAAUAGGACGGCAUAGCUGAGGUCGGAGGUUCGAGACCAGCUAGAUAUAAGGGAUUUUUUCCGUGCACAGGUGCACGGUCGAAUGUAUUCCUGAAGGUAGAGAAUAAUAAUCCCGAAGCUAGAGAAUGAUAUAGGAGGGCGCCGAUGGAUGGGCGAUAGGGCACAACGCAGCAGGAGGGCGGCGCGUGGGAGACGAGGGCGUUUCGCGGUAAGAUAGAGCAGAAAUUGCGCGCACUCAGCCGACAACCUUUUUUUGUAGCCCCAAAACAUCUGCACCCCGUUUUCCUACUUCCUACCCCCAAAAAAUGGAAUAGCCCCUUUUUUUGCCGCCGCUAGCUGGCGCCUCCGUCGCGCGCCGCUUCGCGCGAUCCUCUACCAGGUAAGCUACCAUCUUACCGGAAAAUGUUCUUCAGUAAAGAAUCAAAAUUAUCGGUUUUUGAA
rnacentral:lncRNA from 1 species